rnacentral:rRNA from 1 species
AACGAACGCUGGCGGCAGGCUUAACACAUGCAAGUCGAACGGUUGUAGCAAUACAUCAGUGGCAGACGGGUGAGUAACACGUGGGAACCUUCCUAGGGGUACGGAACAACUCAGGGAAACUUGAGCUAAUACCGUAUACGUCCGUGAGGAGAAAGAUUUAUCGCCCUUAGACGGGCCCGCGUCGGAUUAGCUAGUUGGUGGGGUAACGGCCUACCAAGGCGACGAUCCGUAGCUGAUCUUAGAGGAUGAUCAGCCACACUGGGACUGAGACACGGCCCAGACUCCUACGGGAGGCAGCAGUGGGGAAUCUUGGACAAUGGGCGCAAGCCUGAUCCAGCCAUGCCGCGUGAGUGAAGAAGGUCUUCGGAUUGUAAAGCUCUUUUGCCAGGGACGAUAAUGACGGUACCUGGAGAAUAAGCCCCGGCAAACUUCGUGCCAGCCGCCGCGGUAAAAC